rnacentral:misc_RNA from 1 species
GGAGAAACAGCACUAAAAGUGAUAGAGUUUGAACAGAUGCUACUCCCCAUGUGUUUGAUGUCUGUGCUAGGGGGUACAGCAAGGUUUAGUGACAAGCAAAGGAGCUUGUUUUACCAGCAUUACUUCCCAUGGGCGCUUAAGGCUGGAGCUCGUAGCACAGAUCUUAUGUGUGUUUACUAUGAAAAACAUUUUCAUGAGGAUUUGGAAGAUGUUCGUCGUAAAUGGGGAAUAAUUCCAGCUCCACCUCCUC